GACGAACGCUGGCGGCGUGCUUAACACAUGCAAGUCGAACGGAAAGGCCCUGCUUUUGUGGGGUGCUCGAGUGGCGAACGGGUGAGUAACACGUGAGUAACCUGCCCUUGACUUUGGGAUAACUUCGGGAAACUGGGGCUAAUACCGGAUAGGAGCUCCUGCUGCAUGGUGGGGGUUGGAAAGUUUCGGCGGUUGGGGAUGGACUCGCGGCUUAUCAGCUUGUUGGUGGGGUAGUGGCUUACCAAGGCUUUGACGGGUAGCCGGCCUGAGAGGGUGACCGGCCACAUUGGGACUGAGAGACGGCCCAGACUCCUACGGGAGGCAGCAGUGGGGAAUAUUGCACAAUGGGCGGAAGCCUGAGGAAGCAACGCCGCGUGCGGGAUGACGGCCUUCGGGUUGUAAACCGCUUUCGCCUGUGACGAAGCGUGAGUGACGGUAAUGGGUGAAGAAGCACCGGCUAACUACGUG
rnacentral:rRNA from 1 species